AGCCCAGCGCGAGCGCCGCGGGACCUCGGCCGUGUGACAGACCGCUCGCGCCGUGCCAGCGCCUAAUGGCACCGGCGUAGGGAGCCGCGCUUUGUUCCGGCGGGGAGCGGAGCGCC